GCAGUAGGUGGACUGCGGAGGAUCAUUACCGAGUGCGGGUCCUUUGGGCCCAACCUCCCAUCCGUGUCUAUUAUACCCUGUUGCUUCGGCGGGCCCGCCGCUUGUCGGCCGCCGGGGGGGCGCCUUUGCCCCCCGGGCCCGUGCCCGCCGGAGACCCCAACACGAACACUGUGCAGUCUGAGUUUGAAUGCAAUCAGUAACUUUCAACAAUGGAUCUCUUGGUUCCGGCAUCGAAGAACGCAGCGAAAUGCGAUAACUAAUGUGAAUUGCAGAAUUCAGAUCAUUUGCACGAGUCUUACGCACAUUGCGCCCCCUGGUAUUCCGGGGGGCAUGCCUGUCCGAGCGUCAUUGCUGCCCUCAAGUGCACCCGGCUUGUGUGUUGGGUCGCCGUCCCCCUCUCCGGGGGGACGGGCCCGGGUCAAAAGGCAGCGGCGGCACCGCGUCCGAUCCUCGAGCGUAUGGGGCUUUGUCACAUGCUCUGUAGGAUUGGCCGGCGCCUGCCGACGUUUUCCAACC
rnacentral:sRNA from 1 species